UGCAGCGACGCAGCGUGCGGGAUGACGGCCUUCGGGUUGUAAACCGCUUUCAGCAGGGAAGAAGCGCAAGUGACGGUACCUGCAGAAGAAGUACCGGCUAACUACGUGCCAGCAGCCGCGGUAAUACGUAGGGUACGAGCGUUGUCCGGAAUUAUUGGGCGUAAAGAGCUCGUAGGUGGUUGGUCACGUCUGCUGUGGAAACGCAACGCUUAACGUUGCGCGUGCAGUGGGUACGGGCUGACUAGAGUGCAGUAGGGGAGUCUGGAAUUCCUGGUGUAGCGGUGAAAUGCGCAGAUAUCAGGAGGAACACCGGUGGCGAAGGCGGGACUCUGGGCUGUAACUGACACUGAGGAGCGAAAGCAUGGGGAGCGAACAGGAUUAGAUACCCUGGUAGUCCAUGCCGUAAACGUUGGGCACUAGGUGUGGGGGGCAUUCCACGUUCUCCGCGCCGUAGCUAACGCAUUAAGUGCCCCGCCUGGGGAGUACGG
rnacentral:rRNA from 1 species